GACGAACGCUGGCGGCGUGCCUAAUACAUGCAAGUCGAGCGCAGGAAGCGCGCGGAACCCUUCGGGGGGAAGCACGCGGAAUGAGCGGCGGACGGGUGAGUAACACGUAAGGAACCUGCCCCAGGGACUGGGAUAACUCCGAGAAAUCGGAGCUAAUACCGGAUCUGUCCCGAGACCGCAUGGUCCCGUGAUGAAAGGCGCUCCGGCGUCACCUUCGGUAGGCCUUGCGGUGCAUUAGCUAGUUGGCGGGGUAACGGCCCACCAAGGCGACGAUGCAUAGCCGACCUGAGAGGGUGAUCGGCCACACUGGGACUGAGACACGGCCCAGACUCCUACGGGAGGCAGCAGUAGGGAAUCUUCCACAAUGGACGAAAGUCUGAUGGAGCAACGCCGCGUGAGUGAUGAAGGUUUUCGGAUCGUAAAACUCUGUUGUAAGGGAAGAACAAGCGUGAGAGGGAAUGCUCACGCCUUGACGGUACCUUGCGAGAAAGCCACGGCUAACUACGUGCCAGCCGCCGCGGUAAGAC
rnacentral:rRNA from 1 species